UGAAUGCCCAUUACAGGGAAUCCAUACGGGCACACCCAUAAAAACAUUUCAUAGCUCCUGGGUCUCUCAAGAGGAGUGGCGUGUGUGGCAGUCCUGGCUCUUCUCUUCCGCCAGCAAAUUUGCACCUGCUGCUAUGUCCUUUAAGUAUGUUUCAUUUUAUCACUGUCACCUUCCUCACACUUUUGCCCCCAGCUUUAUCCCCUCCUGGGUGACAAUCUGCUUCACCCAGUUUCCUGGGGGCUUUAAAAACCCAGGUCCAGUCGAAGUGGUGUUUCCUACGUUUCAACUUCACUCUCCCUUGUUGGCAUCUCUAGGCCAGUGCUAUGCCAAGAGGAGGAGCCUUGAACCCUCACGGUGUCAGUUCGUUGCACACACCCAAACCUUCCCACUGAGGAUUCCUUAAGUGCUAAUUAACCAAGGGGUGUUUUAAUUGAUUCAUAUUAUAAAACAUUCCUGGGAGAGUUUUGCAUGGUGUUUAAAAGUGCUACAGUGACAUACAGGGAUAUUUUGGGAACUGAUUGAGACUUGGGAUGGUCUGGGACUGCAUUAUAAUUUUUCUCAUUUAAAAUAAUAGAAGACAAGUGACUACUCUCUGAAAUGCACUAGCCCGUGUGUUUUCAUGAACAGAUUCGAGUCAAAUAAGAGGGGUGGUUGCAUAGGUGAAUAUAUGGCUGUGAAUCUAUACAUAUGCAUAUAUGAAUAAGAGAAAAGAGGAAGAGCAUCCGGGGGGGGGGUGUUCUGUGAAAUUGAGUCCAUUUGACAGAGACCCUGGGGUACUUUGAUGUAAUCCAUGGACUCCUCCCCACCCUCCACUCAUUAAGUCAAGACGGACUUUUCCUUCAUAGAAAAACCGAGCAGGUUUGGCAGAGAGCAAGAGAAGUGAGAAGAAAUGUUGAAUGACUGCAUGAGUCAUUGGAUGGAUGGGUAGAUGAAUGGGGAGGAGGAGAGUCAUGGGGCUGCCGCCUCUGCUUGCAGCCAAAAUAAAAACCACAAGCGUAGGAUGGAGGGCAAGGUGCUGAGCUUGCGGAUGAACCUCUGGGCUCAUCUUUGGGGAGGCAGCAAGGAAUCAGAACAGGCCUAGAGGCCAUGGUGGCUUCACUUCUUUUUGAUUUCCCUCCCUUCAAGCCUCCUUUCAUUUGGCUGAUAUUGGAGAGAGUUUAAAAAACCUCCUGCUGCAAAGGCCAAUGAGGAAGGACCCUGGGAGACCACGUUUUACUUGGAAAAUCAUCAACUACACAGUUUUGGACUUGCUGCUAAGAGUGGCCUGAGGAGAGGGAUGCAAGUUACUGAUGCAGGACAGUGAAGACUUUGCUUCUCAAGGAGAUGCUUUGGAGAGGACCGUGUCUGAAGAUGGAAGGAAUUUGGGGAAGUGCAGUUUAGUUGGGCAGUUAGAAGACUCAUUGGAAACAGUUGCAGAAGGAAGCCUAGAAUAACUUCAGUGAUCUCUAAGCUCAUUCCAUGGUUCAGAUACCCCCAACCCCCAAGCAUCUUAGAAUGUGUUUUUAUUUCCAGCUCAGUCUCUUCACAA
rnacentral:lncRNA from 1 species